rnacentral:rRNA from 1 species
AGACAAUAGAUACCCGGGUAGUCCACGCAGUAAAUGAUGCAGACUAGGCGUGGGGGGACUUGACCCCCUCCGUGCCGGAGCUAAACGCGGGAAGUCUGCCGCCUGGGGAGUACGGCCGCAAGGCUAAAAACUCAAAGGAAUUGACGGGGGCCCGCACAAGCGGUGGAGCGUGCGGUUUAAUUCGACGCAACGCGCAGAACCUUACCAGGGCUUGACAUGCGACUGCAGAGCCGGGAAACCGGUUGGCCUUUGAGGGGGUCGCACAGGUGCUGCAUGGCUGUCGUCAGCUCGUGUCGUGAGAUGUUGGGUUAAGUCCCGCAACGAGCGCAACCCUCGGGGGUAGUUGUCGAUGUUUCUACCCCGACUGCCGCGAGCAACGCGGAGGAAGGUGGGGAUGACGUCAAGUCAGCAUGGCCCUUACGUCCUGGGCAACACGCACGCUACAAUGGGGGGACAAUGGGUAGCCAAGCGGCAACGCGGAGCGAAU